rnacentral:tRNA from 1 species
GGGGGGAUGGUGUAGUGAUAUAGCACUUGGUACUAGAACCGGCGGGUUCGAAUCCCGCUCCCCCCA